AUUGAACGCUGGCGGCAGGCCUAACACAUGCAAGUCGAGCGGCAGCACGGGUACUUGUACCUGGUGGCGAGCGGCGGACGGGUGAGUAAUGCCUAGGAAUCUGCCUGGUAGUGGGGGAUAACGCUCGGAAACGGACGCUAAUACCGCAUACGUCCUACGGGAGAAAGCAGGGGACCUUCGGGCCUUGCGCUAUCAGAUGAGCCUAGGUCGGAUUAGCUAGUUGGUGAGGUAAUGGCUCACCAAGGCGACGAUCCGUAACUGGUCUGAGAGGAUGAUCAGUCACACUGGAACUGAGACACGGUCCAGACUCCUACGGGAGGCAGCAGUGGGGAAUAUUGGACAAUUGGNGAAAGCCUGAUCCAGCCAUGCCGCGUGUGUGAAGAAGGUCUUCGGAUUGUAAAGCACUUUAAGUUGGGANGAAGGGCAUUUACCUAAUACGUAAGUG
rnacentral:rRNA from 1 species